rnacentral:rRNA from 1 species
GACGAACGCUGGCGGCGUGCCUAAUACAUGCAAGUCGAGCGAAGUAUUUCUGGUGCUUCCACCGGUCAAACUCAGCGGCGUACGGGUGAGUAACACGUAUAGAACCUACCUCAUAGAAAGGGCCGACUAUUGGAAACGAUAGCUAAUACCGGAUAAUAGCGUUAAUUGCAUGGCUUCUGUUUAAACGCUAGCUUUGCUAACACUAUGAGAUGGCUUUGCGGUGCAUUAGCUAGUUGGUGGGGUAAAGGCCUACCAAGGCGACGAUGCAUAGCCGGCCUGAGAGGGUGAUCAGCCACACUGGGACUGAGACACGGCCCAGACUCCUACGGGAGGCAGCAGUAGGGAAUCUUGCGCAAUGGGCGAAAGCCUGACGGAGCAACGCCGCGUGUGUGAAGAAGGAUUUCGGUUCGUAAAGCUCUGUUGUUAGGGAAGAAUGGUUGUGAGGUAAUACUACGCUGUAGAGACGGUACCUAACGAGAAAGCAACGGCUAACUACGUG